rnacentral:rRNA from 1 species
UCGGGAAUAUUGGACAAUGGGCGAAAGCCUGAUCCAGCAACGCCGCGUGCGGGACGAAGGCCCUCGGGUCGUAAACCGCUGUCAGGAGGGAGGAACGGUGCGUGGUUAAGAGCUGCGUACUUUGACAGUACCUCCAGAGGAAGCCCCGGCUAACUCCGUGCCAGCAGCCGCGGUAAUACGGAGGGUGCGAGCGUUAAUCGGAAUUACUGGGCGUAAAGCGCGCGUAGGCGGUUGUUUAAGUCAGCUGUGAAAGCCCCGGGCUCAACCUGGGAACUGCAGUUGAUACUGGGGCAGCUAGAGUACGAGAGAGGGAGGUAGAAUUCCACGUGUAGCGGUGAAAUGCGUAGAUAUGUGGAGGAAUACCAGUGGCGAAGGCGGCUCACUGGCUCGAUACUGACGCUGAGGUGCGAAAGUG